UACGUAGGGGGCAAGCGUUGUCCGGAAUCAUUGGGCGUAAAGAGCGUGUAGGCGGCCCGAUAAGUCCGCUGUGAAAGUCCAGGGCUCAACCCUGGAAUGCCGGUGGAUACUGUCGGGCUCGAAUCCGGAAGAGGUGAGUGGAAUUCCUGGUGUAGCGGUGAAAUGCGUAGAUAUCGUUUGGAACGCCAACGGUGAAAACAGACAGCUGGGAGUGUGCUGACGCUGAGACACGAAAGCCAGGGGAGCGAACGGG
rnacentral:rRNA from 1 species